CCCUUAGAUGUCCGGGGCUGCACGCGCGCUACACUGAAGGAAUCAGCGUGCUAAAACCAUUGUCGAAAGGCAUUGGUAAACCCAUUAAAAUCCUACGUGAUUGGGAUCGGGAAUUGCAAUUAUUUCCCUUGAACGAGGAAUUCCCAGUAAGUGUGGGUCAUAAGCUCGCGUUGAUUACGUCCCUGCCCUUUGUACACACCGCCCGUCGCUGCCCGGGACUGAGCCGUUUCGAGAAAAGCGGGGACUGCUGCUGUCGGGGCUUUCGGGCCUUGGCUUCGGUGGAAACCGCUUUACUCGCAGUGGCUUGAACCGGGCAAAAGUCGUAACA
rnacentral:rRNA from 1 species